AGGAAUAUUAAAGGGAGCUGCUAACUACCUUAAAGCAAGAAAUUGUUAAAUUCC
rnacentral:tRNA from 1 species